AACGAACGCUGGCGGCAUGCCUAACACAUGCAAGUCGAACGAGACCUUCGGGUCUAGUGGCGCACGGGUGCGUAACGCGUGGGAACCUGCCUUUAGGUUCGGAAUAACUCCCCGAAAGGGGUGCUAAUACCGGAUAAUGUCUUCGGACCAAAGAUUUAUCGCCUUUAGAUGGGCCCGCGUAGGAUUAGCUAGUUGGUGGGGUAAAGGCCUACAAAGGCGACGAUCCUUAGCUGGUCUGCGAGGAUGAUCAGCCACACUGGGACUGAGACACGGCCCAGACUCCUCCGGGAGGCAGCAGUGGAGAAUAUUGGACAAUGGGCGAAAGCCUGAGCCAGCAAUGCCGCGUGAGUGAUGAAGCCCUUAGGGUUGUAAAGCUCUUUUACCAGGGAUGAUAAUGACAGUACCUGUAGAAUAAGCUCCGGCUAACUCCGUGCCAGCCGCCGCCGUAAAAC
rnacentral:rRNA from 1 species